rnacentral:rRNA from 1 species
AUUGAACGCUGGCGGCAGGCCUAACACAUGCAAGUCGAACGAGUGGCGGACGGGUGAGUAAUGUCUGGGAAACUGCCUGAUGGAGGGGGGUAAAUACUGGAAACGGUAGCUAAUACCGCAUACCAUCGGAUGUGCCCAGAUGGGAUUAGCUAGGAGGGGGGGUAAAGGCUCAACUAGGCGACGAUCCCUAGCUGGUCUGAGAGGAUGACCAGCCACACUGGAACGGAGACACGGUCCCUGCUCCUACGGGAGGCAGCAGUGGGGAAUAUUGCCCAAUGUGCGCAAGCCUGAGUCAGCCAUGCCGCGGGUAUGAAGAAGGCCUUCGGGUUGUAAAGUACUUUCAGCGGGGAGGCGUUACCCGCAGAAGAAGCACCGGCUAACUCCGUGCCAGCCGCCGCGGUAAUAC